rfam:Dipodomys ordii contig_13850, whole genome shotgun sequence.
GGGAAUAUGGCUCAGUGGUAGAGUGCUUGCCUAGCAUGCAUGAAGCCCUGGGUUCUAUUCCUCAGUACCACCU